GUCGAGCGAAUCGAUGGGAGCUUGCUCCUUGAGAUUAGCGGCGGACGGGUGAGUAACACGUGGGCAACCUGCCCUGCAGAUGGGGAUAACUCCGGGAAACCGGGGCUAAUACCGAAUAAUCAGUUCCUCCGCAUGGAGGAACUCUGAAAGACGGUUUCGGCUGUCACUGCAGGAUGGGCCCGCGGCGCAUUAGCUUGUUGGUGGGGUAACGGCCUACCAAGGCGACGAUGCGUAGCCGACCUGAGAGGGUGAUCGGCCACACUGGGACUGAGACACGGCCCAGACUCCUACGGGAGGCAGCAGUAGGGAAUCUUCCACAAUGGACGAAAGUCUGAUGGAGCAACGCCGCGUGAGCGAAGAAGGUUUUCGGAUCGUAAAGCUCUGUUGUGAGGGAAGAACAAGUACGGGAGUAACUGCCCGUACCUUGACGGUACCUCAUCAGAAAGCCACGGCUAACUACGUGCCAGCAGCCGCGGUAAUACGUAGGUGGCAAGCGUUGUCCGGAAUUAUUGGGCGUAAAGCGCGCGCAGGCGGUCCCUUAAGUCUGAUGUGAAAGCCCACGGCUCAACCGUGGAGGGUCAUUGGAAACUGGGGGACUUGAGUACAGAAGAGGAAAGCGGAAUUCCACGUGUAGCGGUGAAAUGCGUAGAGAUGUGGAGGAACACCA
rnacentral:rRNA from 1 species